UGAGUUCAUUUCAGCAGGUAGCAGUCAAGUGCCAAUUGUGUGCCGCUAUAACACCACUGUGGUCUGCAGCACUCCAAAGCUGUCCUAUUUUAGGCAUUGCUGCAGAGAAAUGUUUCUUUUAUUUCAGAUUGAAGCCAAGGGAACGUUGAACGGGGAAAAGGUGGAACACCAGAGGACCACUUUUGUUAAACAGUUAAAACUAGGGAAGCUCCCUCAGUGUCUCUGCAUCCACCUACAGCGGCUGAGCUGGUCCAGCCACGGCACGCCUCUGAAGCGGCAUGAGCACGUGCAGUUCAAUGAGUUCCUGAUGAUGGACAUUUACAAGUACCACCUCCUUGGACAUAAACCUAGUCAACACAACCCUAAACUGAACAAGAACCCAGGGCCUACACUGGAGCUGCAGGAUGGGCCGGGAGCCCCCACACCAGUUCUGAAUCAGCCAGGGGCCCCCAAAACACAGAUUUUUAUGAAUGGCGCCUGCUCCCCAUCUUUAUUGCCAACGCUGUCAGCGCCGAUGCCCUUCCCUCUCCCAGUUGUUCCCGACUACAGCUCCUCCACAUACCUCUUCCGGCUGAUGGCAGUUGUCGUCCACCAUGGAGACAUGCACUCUGGACACUUUGUCACUUACCGACGGUCCCCACCUUCUGCCAGGAACCCUCUCUCAACCAGCAAUCAGUGGCUGUGGGUCUCCGAUGACACUGUCCGCAAGGCCAGCCUGCAGGAGGUCCUGUCCUCCAGCGCCUACCUGCUGUUCUACGAGCGCGUCCUUUCCAGGAUGCAGCACCAGAGCCAGGAGUGCAAGUCUGAAGAAUGACUGUGCCCUCCUGCAAGGCUAGAGCUGAUGGCACUGUCUGCACUGUCCAGGAAAAAAGUAAAACUGUACUGUUGCGUGUGCAAGCGGCCCCACUAGAGCCUUCCAGCCUUCCGGUGUGUUCUAAGAGCAGGCUCCACCUGGGAGCCAGCCCCAGUUCACACCAAACCAGGCUCCCUGAACAGUUCUGUUCAUGUGUGUAGAAGGUUCUGUUGUGUUAAGAAAGCAUUCAUUAUGUCCGGAGUGUCUUUUUACUCAUCUGAUACAGGUAAUUAAAAGAAUUCAGAUUCUUGAAGCCACCGUUUUCAUAUUGUAAUGUUAGGUGUUCUCAGAGGGGAGGUACCUUUGUCUAAUCAAUGUUUCCACUUAGAUCUUUUAUUUUUAAUAAGCAGGCCCAUAAAAAUUGUUGACAAGAAUUAAUGAAAUUAUUAAAGGCAACAAUUUAGAAGAAAAAGUGCCUUUCACUUUCGAUUGCUUUUGUAGCACGUCCAUUGUGAAAUAUUCCUUCCAGGCUUCUCAAAGGAUAGCAAGAGAACAGGUAAAAGAUGCCUAAAGAACACCUUCCUUUUUCUAUGCCUUUUCUAAUCUUUCAAUUCUUUCUAUGGAGUAAAGGCUCAUCUGCCAAAUCUGCCCCCUGGGGAAACUCUUUCACUACUUUGUCAGUUAUAAGUGAAAAGCUUACUUGUUGCUUUUAUCUUUUGUAUAUUGGACUGAGAUGUAAUUACACUGUAUUAUAAAACUCUGUGAAUAGCCAGAACUGAGCUGGAUCUUUGCAACACCCGAUUCCUCUGCUCUGUGGAAAACUUUUUCUUACUCAAGGAUCCACUGUGGAUGGUUACUUUCAUCUGUUUAUUUCUUGUCCAUGCAGAGCUCUUAAGGUUUACAGGUGGGAGCUUGGGGCUGUAUAAAAAAAUAAUCCCUGCCCUGAGUUGACACCUGGCUUAGGAAGGAAGGGCUGAGUAUGGGGCUGCAGUCUCUGUGAACCCGUUUCCUCAUUUGUGAAGUGAAGGGUUAGAUUUGAUGACCACCAAAGUUCAGCCCUUUUCACGAAAAGGAGAAAGCAGCUUUUGACUUUUUAAAAAACAUAUAACUACAGCUGGCAUCUAGUAUUGUCAUGUUGCUCUAGGUCCAUAUUCUGAAUUUAUUCAUUUCCAGUAGCCUAAUACAAAAAGUAUAUAUUGAGCACUUUCUUCCCUUUUCAGGUAAGUCUCUGAAUGCAGCCCAGGGCCAAAGGAAUUUUGAUGACACAGUAGUACCUAUGUUUUAAGCUAUAUUUUUAAUUUAGAAAAAUGGAUACCAAAUUCAAACCGACUCAUCAGAGGUAAGAUUAGGAAUCAGACCUUUCCAAAAGGUCAUCUGAGGUAAGGCUAAGACCGCACUUCCUCUGCUGGGGGUGAGCUGGCAGACACACCAAACAGUGCCUUGGCAGCAGCUCACGGUGGAGGAAGCCCAGGUGAUCACUCUUCUGCUGGGCCCAGGCUGCACCCUGAGGACUCAGUAACUCACUCUCAACAGAAUAUUCUGUGCAGGCUCUCCAGGCUCUGGGCGUCAGGGUGCAAGGGGCAGCUUGAACUGUACGGUCCGUCCUGCACUCACCCGAUGCAGACCUUGACUUUGAUGUUGAAAUGAACACACUUGUUUUACCCAAGUCUGGUGGAACAAAUGCCCAAUCAUGUGACCUUAAAGUGUACUGCAAAGCUGUAGCUUUAAGUAAUUGCUGUUCUGCCACUGCUUACUCUGAAAUCUACCAUCAAAGAAAGAUGGAGAAAAGGGGCUGAGCCUUGGAAUAUAUGGUUAUAAGCAGAUCUUUCUUUGGUCAGAGACCAGGGUUUGAGCCAAGGCUGUAAAUGUGAACAAUAGCUGUGCAAAGCCUUUUAACCUGACUUCAUUUUGUAAAUUAUUAUGCAUUAAGUAGCAGCCCAAUAAUCUGAUUUCUAGUUUUAAGUUAUUUUCAAAGUAAGUAGCUUCUUUUGGGGAAAACCUAAGUUAAACUAGUAGUUUUGCCAUAAUAACUGCUGAUUUAUGUAUUUGCUAAAGGUACUUUUGUAUCCGCUGUGUACUAUAGCAAUAAAAUAAUCAUUUUGUUAGAAAAAAA
rnacentral:sRNA from 1 species